rnacentral:rRNA from 1 species
UACCAUGGUGGUAACGGGUAACGGGGUGUUAGGGCACGACACCGGAGAGGGAGCCUGAGAAACGGCUACCACAUCCAAGGAUGGCAGCAGGCGCGCAAAUUACCCAAUCCCGACACGGGGAGGUAGUGACAGUAAAUAACAAUACGGGGUUCUUUAGGAUCUCGUAAUUGGAAUGAGUACAAUUUAAAUCUCUUAACGAGGAACAAUUGGAGGGCAAGUCUGGUGCCAGCAGCCGCGGUAAUUCCAGCUCCAAUAGCGUAUAUUAAAGUUGUUGCAGUUAAAAAGCUCGUAGUUGAAUUUCGGGGUCAGUAGGUCGGUCGUGCCACUGGUAUGAACUGGUUUUACUGAUUCCUCCCUCUUGAAGAACUGUAAUGCCAUUAAUUUGGUGUUGCAGGGAAUCAGGACUGUUACUUUGAAAAAAUUAGAGUGUUUAAAGCAGGCUUUAGCUUGAAUACAUUAGCAUGGAAUAAUGAAAUAGGACGUUUGAUCCUAUUUUGUUGGUUUCUAGGAUUGACGUAAUGAUUAAUAGGGAUAGUUGGGGGCAUUAGUAUUCAAUUGUCAGAGGUGAAAUUCUUGGAUUUAUUGAAGACUAACUACUGCGAAAGCAUUUGCCAAGGAUGUUUUCAUUAAUCAGAAAGAAAAGUUAGGGGAUCGAAGACGAUCAGAUACCGUCGUAGUCUUAACCAUAAAAUAUGCCGACUAGGGAUCGGAUGAUGUUAAUUUUUUAAUGUUUCUUUAGGCCCCUUCCGGGAAACCAAAGUGUUU